UACGAAGGGGGCUAGCGUUGCUCGGAAUCACUGGGCGUAAAGCGCACGUAGGCGGAUUGCUAAGUCGGGGGUGAAAUCCUGGAGCUCAACUCCAGAACUGCCUUUGAUACUGGCGACCUUGAGUCCGGGAGAGGUGAGUGGAACUGCGAGUGUAGAGGUGAAAUUCGUAGAUAUUCGCAAGAACACCAGUGGCGAAGGCGGCUCACUGGCCCGGUACUGACGCUGAGGUGCGAAAGCGUGGGGAGCAAACAGG
rnacentral:rRNA from 1 species